rnacentral:rRNA from 1 species
CACCAGCCCCUCGAGUGGUGGGGAUGAUUAUUUGGCCUAAAGCGUCCGUAGCCGGCCGGGUAAGUUUCCCGUUAAAUCCAGCGUCUCAAGCGUUGGACUGCGGGAAAUACUGCCUGGCUAGAGAGUGGGAGAGGUCAGCGGUAUUCUGGGGGUAGGGCGAAAUCCUUUGAUCCCCGGAGGACCACCAGUGGCGAAGGCCGCUGACUAGAACACGUCUGACGGUCAGGGACGAAAGCUGGGGUAGCGAACCGGAUUAGAUACCCGGGUAGUCCCAGCCGUAAACGAUGCAUGCUAGGUGUUGGGUUGGCCACGAGCCACCCAGUGCCGCAGGGAAGCCGUUAAGCAUGCCGCCUGGGAAGUACGAUCGCAAGAUUGAAACUUAAAGGAAUUGGCGGGGAGCACCACAGGCGUGAAGCCUGCGGUUU